GUUUCUGUGGUGUAGUGGUUAACACAUCCGCUUUACACGCGGAAGGUCCCCAGUUCGAUUCCGGGCGGAAACA
rnacentral:tRNA from 1 species